rnacentral:rRNA from 1 species
UACGAGGGGGGCAAGCGUUGUUCAGAAUUAUUGGGCGUAAAGGGAGCGUAGGCGGUUUUGUAAGUCGUGUGUGAAAUCUUCGGGCUCAACCCGAAGUCUGCACACGAAACUGCAGGGCUUGAGUAUGGGAGAGGUGAGUGGAAUUCCUGGUGUAGCGGUGAAAUGCGUAGAUAUCAGGAGGAACACCUGUGGCGAAAGCGGCUCACUGGACCAUUACUGACGCUGAGGCUCGAAAGCUAGGGGAGCAAACAGG